rnacentral:rRNA from 1 species
GACGAACGCUGGCGGCGUGCUUAACACAUGCAAGUCGAACGGAAAGGCCCUGCUUUUGUGGGGUGCUCGAGUGGCGAACGGGUGAGUAACACGUGAGUAACCUGCCCUUGACUUUGGGAUAACUUCAGGAAACUGGGGCUAAUACCGGAUAGGAGCUCCUGCUGCAUGGUGGGGGUUGGAAAGUUUCGGCGGUUGGGGAUGGACUCGCGGCUUAUCAGCUUGUUGGUGGGGUAGUGGCUUACCAAGGCUUUGACGGGUAGCCGGCCUGAGAGGGUGACCGGCCACAUUGGGACUGAGAUACGGCCCAGACUCCUACGGGAGGCAGGAGUGGGGAAUAGUGCACAAUGGGCGGAAGCCUGAUGCAGCAACGCCGCGUGCGGGAUGACGGCCUUCGGGGUGUAAACCGCUUUCGCCUGUGACGAAGCGUGAGUGACGGUAAUGGGUAAAGAAGCACCGGCUAACUACGU